rnacentral:rRNA from 1 species
UAGAGUUUGAUCAUGGCUCAGAACGAACGCUGGCGGCAGGCCUAACACAUGCAAGUCGAACGCCCCGCAAGGGGAGUGGCAGACGGGUGAGUAACGCGUGGGAACCUACCUAGAGGUGCGGAAUAGCCCAGGGAAACUUGGAGUAAUACCGCAUAAGCCCGCAAGGGGAAAGAUUUAUCGCCUUUAGAUGGGCCCGCGUCGGAUUAGCUAGUUGGUGAGGUAAUGGCUCACCAAGGCGACGAUCCGUAGCUGGUUUGAGAGAAUGACCAGCCACACUGGGACUGAGACACGGCGCAGACUCCUACGGGAGGCAGCAGUGGGGAAUCUUGGACAAUGGGCGCAAGCCUGAUCCAGCCAUGCCGCGUGAGUGACGAAGGCCUUAGGGUUGUAAAGCUCUUUUGGCGGGGACGAUAAUGACGGUACCCGCAGAAUAAGUCCCGGCUAACUUCGUGCCAGCAGCCGCGGUAAUACGAAGGGGACUAGCGUUGUUCGGAAUUACUGGGCGUAAAGCGCACGUAGGCGGAUUUGUUAGUCAGGGGUGAAAUCCCGGGGCUCACCUCGGAACUGCCCUUGAUACUGCAAGUCUUGAGUCCGGAAGAGGUGAGUGGAAUUCCUAGUGUAGAGGUGAAAUUCGUAAUUUAGGAGAACACCAUGGCGAAGCGGCUCACUGGUCCGGUACUGACGCUGAGUGCGAAGCGUGGGGAGCAAAAGGAUAAAUACCCGGUAGUCCACGCGAAAGAUGAUGCAACGUCGGAAGCUUGCUUGUCGGGGCGCACUACCCUUAACAUCCCGCCG